rnacentral:rRNA from 1 species
UGCUGUAGUAUUUUGACUAUACAAAGGUAUUGAAAUAAGGCUUUAAAUGAGUGCUAAGAGAAUGGUUAAACAAUUAAUAGCUUUCUUUAAUUAAUAAAUUGAAUUUAAUUUUUUUGUGAAGAAGCAAAAAUAAUAAUUAGGGACAAGAAGACCCUAUGAAUUUUGAUUAAAUUGAAUAUUUGGUAAAAUAUUCUAGGAUUUAGUUUGGUUGGGGUGAUUGAAAAAGAAUAUAUAUCUUUUUAUGUGAAGAAGUUUAAUUUGUUCCGUUAAUAAUGAUUAGAUGAUAAAAAUACUCUAGGGAUAACAGCGUAAUAAUUUUGGAUAGUUCUUAUAGAUAAAAUAGUUUGCGACCUCGAUGUUGGAUUAGGAU